GUGCCAGCAGCCGCGGUAAUACAGAGGUGGCAAGCGUUGUUCGGAAUUACUGGGCGUAAAGGGCGCGUAGGCGGUCUUGCAAGUCCUGUGUGAAAUCCCUCGGCUCAACUGAGGAACUGCACAGGAAACUGCUUGGCUUGAGUUCGGGAGAGGGAAGCGGAAUUCCGGGUGUAGCGGUGAAAUGCGUAGAUAUCCGGAGGAACACCGGUGGCGAAGGCGGCUUCCUGGACCGACACUGACGCUGAGGCGCGAAAGCUAGGGGAGCAAACGGGAUUAGAUACCCGUGUAGUCC
rnacentral:rRNA from 1 species